rnacentral:rRNA from 1 species
CCUACGGGCGGCAGCAGUGGGGAAUAUUGGACAAUGGGGGGAACCCUGAUCCAGCCAUGCCGCGUGUGUGAAGAAGGCCCUCGGGUUGUAAAGCACUUUCAGUGAGGAAGAACGCCUGGUGGUUAAUACCCAUCAGGAAAGACAUCACUCACAGAAGAAGCACCGGCUAACUCCGUGCCAGCAGCCGCGGUAAUACGGAGGGUGCGAGCGUUAAUCGGAAUUACUGGGCGUAAAGCGCGCGUAGGUGGCUUGAUAAGCCGGUUGUGAAAGCCCCGGGCUCAACCUGGGAACGGCAUCCGGAACUGUCAAGCUAGAGUGCAGGAGAGGAAGGUAGAAUUCCCGGUGUAGCGGUGAAAUGCGUAGAGAUCGGGAGGAAUACCAGUGGCGAAGGCGGCCUUCUGGACUGACACUGACACUGAGGUGCGAAAGCGUGGGUAGCGAACAGGAUUAGAUACCCUUGUAGUC